GUGCAAGUGAUGUGAACAUUUUUUGACCACUGAGUAGAGUGAUGCUUCCAAAGGAACCACUGAUGCAC